ACUUAGUUCUUAAUUGUCAGUUGAGGAUGCCGAUUGUCGAGAUAUCUAGUGUUGCACUUGCACAAACAUCUAGCGUAACUGCGUAAUCGAUUUAUUUUGGCUAACAAUAGAAGAAAAGUGUCGUCUGCUUUAUUGAUUUUCAAGUUUCGAAACGAAGUGCAAGAUUCCAAUAAAGAACACAAACGAUCACUUUGGGAAACGUACACGUGGCUGCACGAAAAAUAGGGCAGCAAAUGAAUUACAAAAAUGUGGUCGUCGUGUGAACUCUUUCACGGUUGUCUCGGUGUGAACUCGAUUGUGCCUCGUGUGAAUUCUCGGUGUCGGGGCUCUUCAAGUCUCCAUGCUCUCAACUUCAUGCUGUUUGGCCAAUAAACAGCAUCCAGUUAAAUUGGAGAAGUUCCCCUUUCUUUAAAUCCCUCUGUCCUCGUGUACGCCCAUGUGUGUGUGGGUGUAUUCACGAGGACACCCUUUUUCCUUUCACGCCUGGAUUCAACUAUUCUGGUGAUGGAGCAGUUGUCCGUUGUGAUUGGAUGCCUGGCCGUAUCUCCCAGGCUUAAAGGUCCUCCCCAUUUAUGCAACCAGAAAAUGCGGAAAAUGUUACACAGAGCGAAGAAUUUUGACUGGGGAGCCCCUCUGCUGCUUCUGCCGCUGGAUUCUCUCUUCUGGCGGACGCAGAUGAAACGGCUGGUCCUGGACGUUGCUGCCACUCUUAGAUCAAUAAUCAAAUGCUCUGCUCGCCUGUGAAACAGAAAAAUAAGGAACACAGGAAGGAGAAACUACUGUGACUUUUACAUCGCGACCAAUUCAACUAUUUUUAACUACCCCGCGUGUAUUACGUUUCCGGUAUAAAAGAUUAGUUGCGCUUAUUCAUCUUAUAUAGCAUACCACAGAAUGAUUUGAAAAUACUGUUUUUAAUUGCCAUAUCUAUGUAAUUGUUUUAAUU